GAUGAACGCUGGCGGCGUGCCUAAUACAUGCAAGUCGAGCGAAUGGAUUAAGAGCUUGCUCUUAUGAAGUUAGCGGCGGACGGGUGAGUAACACGUGGGUAACCUGCCCAUAAGACUGGGAUAACUCCGGGAAACCGGGGCUAAUACCGGAUAACAUUUUGAACCGCAUGGUUCGAAAUUGAAAGGCGGCUUCGGCUGUCACUUAUGGAUGGACCCGCGUCGCAUUAGCUAGUUGGUGAGGUAACGGCUCACCAAGGCAACGAUGCGUAGCCGACCUGAGAGGGUGAUCGGCCACACUGGGACUGAGACACGGCCCAGACUCCUACGGGAGGCAGCAGUAGGGAAUCUUCCGCAAUGGACGAAAGUCUGACGGAGCAACGCCGCGUGAGUGAUGAAGGCCUUCGGGUCGUAAAACUCUGUUGUUAGGGAAGAACAAGUGUUAGUUGAAUAAGCUGGCACCUUGACGGUACCUAACAGAAAGCCACGGCUAACUACGUGCCAGCCGCCGCCGUAA
rnacentral:rRNA from 1 species